rnacentral:lncRNA from 1 species
ACCAAAGAGGAGAAUGCCCUUUCGGUAAGUUUUGACAUAUCUAGAAGAGAAUAAGAUUUUUUCUUAUUGGAAUCGACUUUGUUAGAUAUAGUUCAAUCCAUGAUGGAGUUUGCAAGUCUGUCAGUCUCCUUUUAAGAUUAUACUCUUAAGACUGUUUGUUAUGUUCUGAGCUAGAUUUUGAAUUAAUCAGUCGCAAAGACUCC